UACGUAGGGUGCAAGCGUUGUCCGGAAUUAUUGGGCGUAAAGAGCUCGUAGGCGGUCUGUCGCGUCGGCUGUGAAAACCCGGAGCUCAACUCCGGGCCUGCAGUCGAUACGAGCAAACUAGAGUGUUGCAGGGGAGACUGGAAUUCCUGGUGUAGCGGUGAAAUGCGCAGAUAUCAGGAGGAACACCGGUGGCGAAGGCGGGUCUCUGGGCAACAACUGACGCUGAGGAGCGAAAGCGUGGGGAGCGAACAGG
rnacentral:rRNA from 1 species